rnacentral:rRNA from 1 species
AUUGAACGCUGGCGGCAGGCCUAACACAUGCAAGUCGAACGGUAACAGGAAGAAGCUUGCUUCUUUGCUGACGAGUGGCGGACGGGUGAGUAAUGUCUGGGAAACUGCCUGAUGGAGGGGGAUAACUACUGGAAACGGUAGCUAAUACCGCAUAACGUCGCAAGACCAAAGAGGGGGACAUUCGGGCCUCUUGCCAUAGGAUGUGCCCAGAUGGGGUUAGCUUGUUGGUGGGGUAAAGGCUCACCAAGGCGACGAUCCCUAGCUGGUGCUGAGAGGAUGACCAGCCACACUGGGACUGAGACACGGUCCAGACUCCUACGGGAGGCAGCAGUGGGGAAUAUUGCACAAUGGGCGCAAGCCUGAUGCAGCCAUGCCGCGUGUAUGAAGAAGGCCUUCGGGUUGUAAAGUACUUUCAGCGGGGAGGAAGGGAGUAAAGUUAAUACCUUUGCUCAUUGACGUUACCCGCAGAAGAAGCACCGGCUAACUCCGUGCCAGCCGCCGCGGUAA